GAUGAACGCUGGCGGCGUGCCUAAUACAUGCAAGUCGAGCGAACAGACGAGGAGCUUCUCCUCUGACGUUAGCGGCGGACGGGUGAGUAACACGUGGAUAACCUACCUAUAAGACUGGGAUAACUUCGGGAAACCGGAGCUAAUACCGGAUAAUAUAUUGAACCGCAUGGUUCAAUAGUGAAAGACGGUUUUGCUGUCACUUAUAGAUGGAUCCGCGCCGCAUUAGCUAGUUGGUAAGGUAACGGCUUACCAAGGCAACGAUGCGUAGCCGACCUGAGAGGGUGAUCGGCCACACUGGAACUGAGACACGGUCCAGACUCCUACGGGAGGCAGCAGUAGGGAAUCUUCCGCAAUGGGCGAAAGCUUGACGGAGCAACGCCGCGUGAGUGAUGAAGGUCUUCGGAUCGUAAAACUCUGUUAUUAGGGAAGAACAAAUGUGUAAGUAACUAUGCACGUCUUGACGGUACCUAAUCAGAAAGCCACGGCUAACUACGUG
rnacentral:rRNA from 1 species